CCUGAUGAACAUAGCGCGUAGGUCCCACCCCUUCCCAUCCCGAACAGGACCGUGAAACGACUCUACGCCGAUGAUAGUGCGGAUUCCCGUGUGAAAGUAGGUAAUCGUCAGGC
rnacentral:rRNA from 1 species